CUGUGCAAAAGCUUUUAAAUUUAAUUAGAUCCCAUUUGUUUAUUCUUAUUUUUAUUUUCAUUACUCUACCUACCCUGAUUCUGGGACCCAGAAAGGUAUAAGCUCUCUUAUUCCCUCUCUGAUUCCUCUUCUCCCUUUCUCUGAUUGGGAAGAACUUUAUAUAGCCAUGGGCAAUUGAAGGGGAUUCAGUGACUAUUCCUUUAACUUAAUAUAUACUUUCUGGGUGGAAAAACUGUUUUUCGAUAUAGUAAAAUAGCACACCACUGCAAAACUAAUCACAAAAUUUUAAGAAAUAUGUGUUGUAGAACAGAUUGACCAAGGCUGGAAGGUUCAGACUGUCCAGGAAGAUUCAGAGAAGCUGAACUUAGGACAGAGAUCUGAAGGUCAUUGGGAAAGAAGUAUGCAGAAUUUCAGAAACUACUUGAAGGAAGAAAAAGCUUUGGCAUGCUGGAAGUGCAUUUUAUAUCACAGCUGAGCAUUACAUAUCAGAGGAGUUUUUAACCACUGUGAUUUUGUCCACAAAGAAGGUCUGGACACUUCCUGUAUCUGCAUAAUUUGAUGGACUCGAGUAUUCUGAGCUUAAUGAUGAAUUAUUUCAAAUGGAACCAAGGUUGCACUUUUUACAUCUAUUUUCUUCAGAGAAGACAUCAAAGUUUUGCAAAGACCAGCUGUAUCCUCAUUUCUUAUAUGAAGGAAACUUUGUUCCCAGACUUAGUGUCUGUGUCAAUGGCAUUCACCUGAAACCUGGGAUGGGACUGUAUCAACAUCAAGGUUACAUUUAGAAUUCUUAAAGGAACAGAACAUGACCCUCAUCCUCCAGAAGCUCACAAGCAAAUAAGAGACGUUUGUGAAAUACAAAGAAGAGGCUCAGGAAAGGACUGGAUCCAUCAUUUAUUUAUUUAUUUAUUUUCAUUUUCUUAUUUCCCAAAAGGAAGUAGCAAAAGCUGCCUACCAAAAUAAAAUACACUGUAGUUAACUUCAGUUCACUGUGCUCAUUCUGAUUGGAGUGAUAUUUUUCCUUCUCUCCUACUUGGAUUGAUCAAAAAGAAAAAAAAUUGAGCUUAAUUCCUGGCAAAAGAUGAGGAAGGAAAUAAUAAAUUAGGGCAUUUCAAAUAUAUCUUAUAAGUCCCUAUUAAUAUUCCAACAUGAAAAAUCAAUAUCCCUUAGCCUCAAACAAUAUAGAGUUUAACUACAAUAGCAAUCAAAGGAAGAAUAAUUGAAACUUUUAUGGAAAACUUUCUUCACAAGCUUGAACAAUUUUAGCACCCAGUGAUAAGUAAAAUUUAAAUCUAAAAGCAUUGUUACAUGCUCCUUAACUUUGAUUAUCUAUACUUUGCAAAUCUUGGUUUUCUUUUCUAAUUUUGUAUACAUGCAAGCUAUUUCCUUGUAUUUUCAUGUACACAUCUCAUUUGAAUGCAGAUUAUUUUAGAAACUCAUGAGAGUGUGCUUUCCAGGUUGAGAGUAGUAGCUCUCUGUCCAAUAUGGUUACACAUAUUUAUCAUGACAUUUUUUCAAAACCAAUUUUAAUAAAAACAAACAUUUGCUCACACAGAAGCAGGAGUUAAAGAAGAGAUUCCUUUGUGGGUUUAUCACAGAUUUUUUUUUUUUUUUGGUUUAAAAUAUGUCAGAGUCUCUUUAGCCUUUACUGAGGCUAUUUGGAUAUCCUUUAGUUUGGGGUCUUUUGUUGUUGUUUUGGUUUGCCUUAUUUGUUUUGUUUCAUGCAUUUUUUUUUUUUUAACUGGCAGCAGAUUAGUCCAGUCCUGCUUCUAUUGCAAGGAGGAAUCAGUUCAAGUGCUGAGAUACUCUGGGAAAUUUUUGAACAACAAAAUAAUCUGAAACAUCUAAUUUUUCAAACCAAAAAUUGUUGUUGUUUAUGAGCUAAGUCAUAACUGACUCUUUUGCAACCCCAUGGACU